GACGAACGCUGGCGGCGUGCUUAACACAUGCAAGUCGAACGAGAAGAGAUGAGAAACUUGCUUCUUAUCAAUUCGAGUGGCAAACGGGUGAGUAACGCGUAAGCAACCUGCCCUUCAGAUGGGGGACAACAGCUGGAAACGGCUGCUAAUACCGAAUACGUCUUUUUGUCGCAUGGCAGAGGGAAGAAAGGGAGGCUCUUCGGAGCUUUCGCUGAAGGAGGGGCUUGCGUCUGAUUAGCUAGUUGGAGGGGUAACAGCCCACCAAGGCGACGAUCAGUAGCCGGUCUGAGAGGAUGAACGGCACAUUGGGACUGAGACACGGCCCAGACUCCUACGGGAGGCAGCAGUGGGGAAUCUUCCGC
rnacentral:rRNA from 1 species